rnacentral:tRNA from 1 species
GCCUGACUGGCUGAGUUAUUAGAGCAUGUGACUCUUGAUCUCAGGGUCAUGAGUUCGAGCCUCAUGUUAGGCA